rnacentral:lncRNA from 1 species
GGCUGUUAGAGGCUGUAGGAAGAGAGCUCUAGGAUAUGAGGACAUGAGUUCUAAAGGACAAUCAGAACAGUAGAAAGGGUAAACAGAGAACAGAACUUCCAGACAAAGGAAAUAGUAUGCUCGAAGGCCCAGGGGUGGGAGCAAAGCUGAAGGUCUGGAAACACAUGUACUUGCAGUGUGCUGAGCAAUGAAUGACUGAGACAAGAAAUGAUCCCAGGUGACUAAAUAAAGAAUGAAUAAUUUAUGAGUCAAGAGUCCUUCCUUUACAACUAAAGAGAUCCUUGAUGACAUCAAAGGCUUCAAGAAUCAGAGAAAGAGAAUGCAUGUAUUUUCUGCGCAGUCUGAGAGAGAGUAGCAUAUCUCAAUCAAUUAAGACCUUUUGUAAUGAAUUCUAUUUGGUAUCUAAUAAACCAAAUAAUGUAAUACUGAUGUACAUUCUCAGUGCUCCAUGGGCAGCCACAAUGGUGUGUAAAAUAAAGAAAUUAAGUGUGCAACUCUCUCUUCUUUUUUUUUUUUUUUUGAUACUUUUCUUCUUGCCCUUCUCCUUCCCAAACUCCCAAAACUAUAGAAAAUGUUAACAGUUAAG